GCGGCGGCUUACACAUGCAAGUCGAGCGGUAACAGGGGGUGCUUGCACCCCGCUGACGAGCGGCGGACGGGUGAGUAAUGCAUAGGAAUCUGCCCAGUAGUGGGGGAUAGCCCGGGGAAACCCGGAUUAAUACCGCAUACGCCCUUUGGGGGAAAGCAGGGGAUCUUCGGACCUUGCGCUAUUGGAUGAGCCUAUGUCGGAUUAGCUAGUUGGUGGGGUAAAGGCCUACCAAGGCGACGAUCCGUAGCUGGUCUGAGAGGAUGAUCAGCCACAUCGGGACUGAGACACGGCCCGAACUCCUACGGGAGGCAGCAGUGGGGAAUAUUGGACAAUGGGGGCAACCCUGAUCCAGCCAUGCCGCGUGUGUGAAGAAGGCUUUCGGGUUGUAAAGCACUUUCAGUGAGGAGGAAAACCUUCUGGUUAAUACCCAUGAGGCUUGACGUUACUCACAGAAGAAGCACCGGCUAACUCCGUGCCAGCAGCCGCGGUAAUACGGAGGGUGCAAGCGUUAAUCGGAAUUACUGGGCGUAAAGCGCGCGUAGGUGGUUUGAUAAGCGAGAUGUGAAAGCCCCGGGCUUAACCUGGGAACGGCAUUU
rnacentral:rRNA from 1 species